rnacentral:rRNA from 1 species
GACGAACGCUGGCGGCGUGCUUAACACAUGCAAGUCGAACGGAAAGGCCCUGCUGUUGUGGGGUGCUCGAGUGGCGAACGGGUGAGUAACACGUGAGUAACCUGCCCUUUACUUUUGGAUAACGUCAGGAAACUGGAGCUCAUACCGGAUAUGAUCUCCUGCUGCAUGGUGGGGGUUGGAAAGUUUCGGUGGUUGGGGAUGCACUCGCGGCUUAUCAGCUUGUUGGUGGGGUAGUGGCUUACCAAGGCUUUGGCGGGUAGCCGGCCUGAGAGGGUGACCGGCACCAUUGGGACUGGGAUCCGGCCCAGACUCCUACGGGAGGAAGAAGUGGGGAUUAUUGCCAAAUGGGCGGAAGCCUGAUGAAGCAACGCCGCGGGCGGGAUGACGGCCUUCGGGUUGUAACCCGCUUUCGCAUGUGACGAAGCGUGAGUGACGGUAAUGGGUAAAGAAGCACCGGCUAACUACGUG